GAGUACGUGAAACUGCUUAGAGGUUAAACCCGAUGAACCUGAAUAUCCAUUAUGGAAAAUUCAUCAGUAAUAAUAAAAUAUAUUAAAAAUAUUUUAUAAGUAUUGUGCAAUUUUUCCAUAUAAGGACAUUGUAAUCUGUUAAUGUAAUAAAUAUUUAUCAUAAGAUCCAUUACUUAAGUUUAUUCAAAUUAGUUAUUUUCGGAUUUCUAACAUAAAAUAAAUGUUUUGGAUUUGAUAAAUCAUUGACAGAUAUAAUUAUAUAAUGUGCUUAAAAUUUUUCGAAAUUUUUACAAUGAUAAUUUAAUCUAAUGAUUUUAUUAUUUAAUUGUAUGCACUAUUAUGAUUGACAAUGCGAUAGAUUCAGGAUACCUUCGGGACCCGUCUUGAAACACGGACCAAGGAGUCUAACAUAUGUGCAAGUCAUUGGGUAUUUUUAAUAAAACCCAAUGGCAUAAUUAACUUAACUGUUUAUAAUGGGAUUAGUUUGUAAUUUGUUAUGAAUUAUUAAUUCAAUCCCGGGGCGUUCUAUAUAGUUAUGUAUGAUAAUAUUUAUAUUAUUUAUGCCUCUAACUCGAGCGUACCUUGAGCAUAUAUGCUGUGACCCG
rnacentral:rRNA from 1 species